rnacentral:tRNA from 1 species
GCGUGCGUAGCCCAAGCAGGGCGCCGGCCCUACCAGGCCGGAGGUGGAGGUGCGAGUCCUCCCGCACGCU